rnacentral:rRNA from 1 species
CAGUAGCCACGGUAACACGUAGGGUGCGAGCGUUAAUCGGAAUUACUGGGCGUAAAGCGUGCGCAGGCGGUUUUGUAAGACAGGCGUGAAAUCCCCGGGCUUAACCUGGGAAUGGCGCUUGUGACUGCAAGGCUAGAGUGCGUCAGAGGGGGGUAGAAUUCCACGUGUAGCAGUGAAAUGCGUAGAGAUGUGGAGGAAUACCGAUGGCGAAGGCAGCCCCCUGGGACGAGACUGACGCUCAUGCACGAAAGCCAGGGGAGCGAACGGGAUUAGAUACCCGAGUAGUCCCUGUCUCUUAUAC